AACGAACGCUGGCGGCAUGCCUAACACAUGCAAGUCGAACGAGACCUUCGGGUCUAGUGGCGCACGGGUGCGUAACGCGUGGGAACCUGCCCUUAGGUUCGGAAUAACUCACCGAAAGGGGUGCUAAUACCGGAUAAUGUCUUCGGACCAAAGAUUUAUCGCCUUUGGAUGGGCCCGCGGUGGAUUAGCUAGUUGGUAGGGUAAAAGCCUAUCAAGGCGACGAUCCAUAGCUGGUCUGAGAGGAUGAUCAGCCACACUGGGACUGAGACACGGCCCAGACUCCUACGGGAGGCAGCAGUGGGGAAUGUUGGACGAUGGGCGAAAGCCUGAUCCAUCAAUGCCGCGUGGGUGAUGAGUGCCUUAGGGUUGUAAAGCUCUUUUACCCGGGAUGAUAAUGACAGUACCGGGAGAAUAAGCGCCGGCUAACUCCGUG
rnacentral:rRNA from 1 species